CCCCUUUGAAUUCCUUGUCCCUCCGAUCUAAAUAUUGGUCUGAGUGGCUAAAAAAGAAAGAGAAAGUAAAACUGAAGUGGACUUGGAGUCUUUAAUAACUUACAAGUUCAUUUCAAACAUAG
rnacentral:snoRNA from 1 species